AUUGAACGCUAGCGGCGUGCUUUACACAUGCAAGUCGAGCGGCAGCAUGACCUUCGGGUUGAUGGCGAGCGGCGAACGGGUGAGUAAUACAUCGGAACAUAUCCUAUAGUGGGGGAUAACUCAUGGAAAGAUGAGCUAAUACCGCAUGAGCUCUGAGGAGGAAAGGCGGGGAUCGAAAGAACUGUCGCUGUAGGGAUGGCCGAUGGCUGAUUAGUUAGUUGGUGGGGUAAUGGCUUACCAAGACGAUGAUCAGUAGCUGUUCUGAGAGGAAGAUCAGCCACACUGGGACUGAGACACGGCCCAGACUCCUACGGGAGGCAGCAGUGGGGAAUUUUGGACAAUGGGGGAAACCCUGAUCCAGCAACGCCGCGUGAAUGAAGAAGGCCUUAGGGUUGUAAACUUCUUUCGGCAGGAACGAAACGGCGAGCUCUAACAUAGCUCGCUAAUGACGGUACCUGAAGAAGAAGCACCGGCUAACUACGUGCCAGCCGCCGCGGUAAGAC
rnacentral:rRNA from 1 species